GUAUUACAUUUUGGGGUAUUGUAAUAAAACAGGGUUGUGCACAGUAUGUCCUACUGUGCACAACAACAAAUUUUCCAUAUUUUAAAUGCUUCUAUCAAUAGAUAGACUUUGACUCAGACUGUUUAAUCUUGUUUGUUUCUUAGUUUCACAGUUCUUCUACUUCAUGAAGUCAAAGCAUCAACGAAACAACCUGAUGAGACCACUCACAUCCCAAAAGGGUGUCCUGUCCUUCCAUAUGACAUUGAAUAAGUCCAGGACACAGGAGUUUGACAUCGACAUUGAGCUCAUUUAUGACUCCGAUGCUUCUCCGUCAGAGGCCAGCGGCACCAAAAAAGGAGUUUGACGUCAAAAUUGAGCUCUCAUUAUGACUUUGGCACUACUGAACGGUUAUCAUGAUCUGGAUGAUGAAGAUGCCUUGCAAGUCCAAGAAGAUCCAAUCACUUCCCAUCAAAAAUCCCACACCUCAGAAAUGAAAAUUCUGUCAUUUACUCAUUUGUCACUCCAAACCCAUAAG